CGGACCGACGGGAGCUUGCUCCCUUAGGUCAGCGGCGGACGGGUGAGUAACACGUGGGUAACCUGCCUGUAAGACUGGGAUAACUCCGGGAAACCGGGGCUAAUACCGGAUGCUUGAUUGAACCGCAUGGUUCAAUCAUAAAAGGUGGCUUUUAGCUACCACUUACAGAUGGACCCGCGGCGCAUUAGCUAGUUGGUGAGGUAACGGCUCACCAAGGCGACGAUGCGUAGCCGACCUGAGAGGGUGAUCGGCCACACUGGGACUGAGACACGGCCCAGACUCCUACGGGAGGCAGCAGUAGGGAAUCUUCCGCAAUGGACGAAAGUCUGACGGAGCAACGCCGCGUGAGUGAUGAAGGUUUUCGGAUCGUAAAACUCUGUUGUUAGGGAAGAACAAGUACCGUUCGAAUAGGGCGGUACCUUGACGGUACCUAACCAGAAAGCCACGGCUAACUACGUGCCAGCAGCCGCGGUAAUACGUAGGUGGCAAGCGUUGUCCGGAAUUAUUGGGCGUAAAGCGCGCGCAGGCGGUUUCUUAAGUCUGAUGUGAAAGCCCCCGGCUCAACCGGGGAGGGUCAUUGGAAACUGGGGAACUUGAGUGCAGAAG
rnacentral:rRNA from 1 species